AAGUCGUAACAAGGUUUCCGUAGGUGAACCUGCGGAAGGAUCAUUAAUGAUUUUAGCUAACCAUGGCUAUUUUAGCCAUGGUUAUGCGAAAUUUUGUAUUUAAAACCCCACUCUUACAAUAAAAAUUUAUUAUAUUUAUGAUAAAAAUAAGAUCACUUUCAACAACGGAUCUCUUGGCUCUC
rnacentral:misc_RNA from 1 species